rnacentral:rRNA from 1 species
GACGAACGCUGGCGGCGUGCUUAACACAUGCAAGUCGAGCGGUAAGGCCCUUUCGGGGGUACGACGAGCGGCGAACGGGUGAGUAACACGUGGGUGACCUGCCCUCAGCUCUGGGAUAAGCCCGGGAAACUGGGUCUAAUACCGGAUAUGACUUCAUGACGCAUGUUGUGGAGUGGAAAGCCUUGUGCGGCUGAGGAUGGGCCCGCGGCCUAUCAGCUUGUUGGUGGGGUGANGGCCUACCAAGGCGACGACGGGUAGCCGGCCUGAGAGGGCGACCGGCCACACUGGGACUGAGAUACGGCCCAGACUCCUACGGGAGGCAGCAGUGGGGAAUCUUGCGCAAUGGGCGAAAGCCUGACGCAGCGACGCCGCGUGAGGGAUGAC